GUGGAUGUAGCUCAGUUGGUAGAGCGCCAGACUGUGGAUCUGGGUGUCGCGGGUUCGAGCCCCGUCAUCCACCCA
rnacentral:tRNA from 3 species